rnacentral:rRNA from 1 species
AGCUCUCCGAGUGGUAGGGAUGAUUAUUGGGCCUAAAGCGUUCGUAGCCGGCUUAGCAAGUCUCCUGUUAAAUUCAGCGACCUAAUCGUUGAGCCGCGGGGGAUACUACUAAGCUAGGAGGCGGAAGAGGUCAACGGUAUUCUCGGGGUAGGGGUGAAAUCCUAUAAUCCCGAGAGGACCACCAGUGGCGAAGGCUGUUGACUGGUACGCGCUCGACGGUGAGGGACGAAAGCUGGGGGAGCGAACCGGAUUAGAUACCCGAGUAGUCC